UACGUAGGGGGCUAGCGUGGUCCGGAAUCAUUGGGCGUAAAGCGCGUGUAGGCGGUCCGGUAAGUCCGCUGUGAAAGUCGGGGGCUCAACCCUCGGAUGCCGGUGGAUACUGUCGGGCUUGAGUACGGAAGAGGCGAGUGGAAUUCCUGGUGUAGCGGUGAAAUGCGCAGAUAUCAGGAGGAACACCAAUUGCGAAGGCAGCUCGCUGGGACGUUACUGACACUGAGACGCGAAAGCGUGGGGAGCAAACAGG
rnacentral:rRNA from 1 species